rnacentral:rRNA from 1 species
UCCUGGCUCAGAGCGAACGCUGGCGGCAGGCUUAACACAUGCAAGUCGAGCGGGCCCUUCGGGGUCAGCGGCAGACGGGUGAGUAACGCGUGGGAGCGUGCCCUUCGGUUCGGAAUAACUCAGGGAAACUUGAGCUAAUACCGGAUACGCCCUUAUGGGGAAAGGCUUGACUGCCGAAGGAUCGGCCCGCGUCUGAUUAGCUGGUUGGUGAGGUUAUGGCUCACCAAGGCGACGAUCAGUAGCUGGUCUGAGAGGAUGAUCAGCCACACUGGGACUGAGACACGGCCCAGACUCCUACGGGAGGCAGCAGAAGGG